AUACGUAGGGGGCGAGCGUUGUCCGGAAUGAUUGGGCGUAAAGGGCGCGUAGGCGGCCCGGUAAGUCUGGAGUGAAAGUCCUGUUUUUAAGAUGGGAAUUGCUUUGGAUACUGUCGGGCUUGAGUGCAGGAGAGGUAAGUGGAAUUCCCAGUGUAGCGGUGAAAUGCGUAGAGAUUGGGAGGAACACCAGUGGCGAAGGCGACUUACUGGGCCGUAACUGACGCUGAGGCGCGAAAGUGUGGGGAGCAAACAGGAUUAGAUACCCUGGUAGUCCACACUGUAAACGAUGAAUGCUAGGUGUAGGGGGUAUCGACCCCUUCUGUGCCGCAGUCAACACAAUAAGCAUUCCGCCUGGGGAGUACGGCCGCAAGGUUGAAACUCAAAGGAAUUGACGGGG
rnacentral:rRNA from 1 species